GUGAGAAUGCCGGAAUGAGUAGCGAGAAUUAUGUGAGAAUCAUAAUGGCCGAAAGUCUAAGGUUUCCUGAGGAAGGUUCGUCCUCUCAGGGUUAGCCGGGAGCUAAGGUGAGGCGGAAACGCGUAGCCGAUGCACAUACGGUAGAAAUUCCGUAGCCUCCGAAGAUUUAAGCACAGGGACACUUUUGAAGGGCUGAGCCGGGCGUUGGUUGCCCCGGUCGAAAGGGACACGAUUGAGUGGAAGUCAGUUUGGAAAGAGGCGAGAAAAGCUGUGUGUAUAUGGAAGGAGCCCGUACCGCAAACCGACACAGGUAGACAGGAAGAAGAUUCUAAGGCCAGCGGGAGAAGGGUUGUUAAGGAACUCGGCAAGUUGACCCCGUAACUUCGGGAGAAGGGGUGCUUACGAAGGUAAGCCGCAGAGAAUAGGCCCAAGCGACUGUUUAGCAAAAACACAGCUCUAUGCUAAAUCGAAAGAUGACGUAUAUGGGGUGACACCUGCCCGGUGCUGGAAGGUUAAGAGGAGAUGUGAGAGCAUUGAAUUGAAGCCCCAGUAAACGGCGGCCGUAACUAUAACGGUCCUAAGGUAGCGAAAUUCCUUGUCAGGUAAGUUCUGACCCGCACGAAUGGUGUAACGAUUUGGGCACUGUCUCAACAACCCACCCGGCGAAAUUGUAGUACCGGUGAAGAUGCCGGUUACCUGCGACUAGACGGAAAGACCCCAUGGAGCUUCACUGCAGCUUAAUAUUGGAUUUCGGUAUUUCAUGUACAGGAUAGGUGGGAGACUGGGAAAUACAGGCGUCAGCUUGUAUGGAGUCAUUGUUGGGAUACCACUCUUGAGGUGCUGGAAUUCUAACCUGUGGCCUUGAAUCAGGUCAGGGGACAUUGUUAGGCGGGCAGUUUGACUGGGGCGGUCGCCUCCUAAAAGGUAACGGAGGCGCUCAAAGGUUCGCUCAGCAUGGACGGAAACCAUGCCAAAGAGUGUAAACGCAUAAGCGAGCCUAACUGCGAGACUGACGGGUCGAGCAGUAACGAAAGUUGGAGUUAGUGAUCCGGCGGUAUGUGAGUGGAAAUGCCGUCGCUCAACGGAUAAAAGCUACCCUGGGGAUAACAGGCUGAUCUCCCCCAAGAGUCCACAUCGACGGGGAGGUUUGGCACCUCGAUGUCGGCUCAUCGCAUCCUGGGGCUGAAUUCGGUCCCAAGGGUUUGGCUGUUCGCCAAUUAAAGCGGUACGCGAGCUGGGUUCAGAACGUCGUGAGACAGUUCGGUCCCUAUCUGUCGUGGGCGUAGGAUAUUUGCAAGGAGCUGUCCCUAGUACGAGAGGACCGGGAUGGACGCACCUCUGGUGCACCAGUUGUCACGCCAGUGGCACAGCUGGGCAGCUAUGUGCGGAACGGAUAAACGCUGAAAGCAUCUAAGCGUGAAGCCGCCCUUAAGAUAAGAUCUCCUUUAAGACCCCUUGUAGACUACGAGGUUGAUAGGUCUGAUGUGUAAGCACGGUGACGUGUUUAGCUUGCAGAUACUAAUCGGUCGUUCGCUUUUCCU
rnacentral:rRNA from 1 species